rnacentral:tRNA from 2 species
UGGGAUGUAGCUCAAUGGCAGAGUGCUUGUCAAGCAUGCAUGAAAUCCUGGUUUCAAUUCCCAGCACCACAA